rnacentral:rRNA from 1 species
CCUACGGGCGGCUGCAGUAGGGAAUAUUGCUCAAUGGGGGAAACCCUGAAGCAGCAACGCCGCGUGGAGGAUGAAGGUUUUCGGAUUGUAAACUCCUUUUGUUAGAGAAGAUAAUGACGGUAUCUAACGAAUAAGCACCGGCUAACUCCGUGCCAGCAGCCGCGGUAAUACGGAGGGGGCAAGCGUUACUCGGAAGCACUGGGCGUAAAGAGGGCGUAGGCGGGAUAGCAAGUCAGAUGUGAAAUCCUAUGGCUUAACCAUAGAACUGCAUUUGAAACUGUUAUUCUAGAGUAUGGGAGAGGUAGGUGGAAUUCUUGGUGUAGGGGUAAAAUCCGUAGAGAUCAAGAGGAAUACUCAUUGCGAAGGCGACCUGCUAGAACAUAACUGACGCUGAUGCGCGAAAGCGUGGGGAGCAAACAGGAUUAGAUACCCCAGUAGUC